rnacentral:lncRNA from 1 species
CACCCUGGCUUACAUACAUACAUACAUACAUACAUACAUACAUACAUACAUACAUACGAACGUAUGUACAUAUAUACAUACAUAUGAUGAUAUUAUUUAGUGCAGUGAAAUUAUAAUAUAUUAAUUAAAAGCUUUUGAGAGAAAAGCCAUUGAAGGAAUCCUAAAAUCUCUCCUAUUUUAUUUGACUUAUAGAUGGUCCUGCGAGACCAGAGUGGGGUCUUUUAGAAGAGGCUGACAUAUAAAGAAAAUUGGCUGCCUAACCGCUAGAAUAGUCAAGAUGUCCUUGUGUAUAAAGGAGCGGUUGCUGUUUGUGAAAGCAAAACAUAACAACAAUAUCCAGAUACAAAACAAGAUGGAUUCUGCACGUCCAGUUGUCUUGUUUAAGAUGCAAGCAGUAGGAGAUUGUCAUUUUCACCAUUGAAAUGUGGAGCACUGUUUUGAACCUUUGUGGGGGACUUACCAUGGGUGGGAGCUAUUGCAAUCUAUUUUAUUACUCAUUUAACCCUUAGCUCGCCAUCUGCAUCACCCUACUAUGCCCACUUAACAACACUGCAAUGGAGGCAUAGAGUGAUUUGCAUGAGAUCAAAGGGGAAGUCAGGGAAUAGCAGAUGUUGGAUUUUGAAUUCCUGAAACACAGUGGCCCCAGAACCCUGCAUUUCAACCCCUUUCAUUCCACCUUCUAACACUCUUUGGCAGUUGGGUGAGUCAGAUCCUGGCCCGUCCGUCUACCCAUGCUCAAGGUUCUCUCUGACUAUUUAAAGCUACAUUAAAAAAAAAAAAAAAAACUCCCUGAAGGAGGUAGUCAAAAUAAAUAGAAUUUCUGAGAUUCA